GUGGUGGUGCAUGGCCGUUC
rnacentral:siRNA from 1 species